GUUUCUGGAAGGGGAGGGAAGGGGCCAGCUGGCUCAGUCCUCUCUGUGACAUCACCUUGGUAGGGCAGGUGCAGGUGUUUGCCAACCACCUGGAAGCAGGGCAGUGCUGGGGACCCCGCGUUGGCACCCUCCAGGGGUUAAUGGAGGUGACAAGCGAUGUCUCUGACAAGCAGUGUGACUCGGGACAGGGAGUUGGUGUUUUGAACGCACAAGACUGCUGGCAAAGCAGACACACAACCCUCUCCCAUGCCACGAUCUGCUGGGAGGAGUCCUGCUGGGCGCGGACGUGCUGCACCUUGACCAGCCCGCAUCCCUGUUCCGACCUGGUGAUGUCUUCUCCGUCUCUGCAGCAGGGAAGUGAACCAUUAAGCUGCUCUCUGCCUUGUGACCCGUGCUCCUCAGUGUCAGUGACAUCACUGUUCUCCGGGUGGAAGAGGGCUGGGGGCAGAGGCUCUGGUUUUGAAGGUGGUCAGGAGCACAGACAGCGGGACCGCCUGGUUCGGACAGCACAGGGUCUCCCCUGACUCGCCGGGAAACAGGGCAACAGCCCCUCCUGAGCCCGUCCAGUUUGGUCUGGAUGGUGGCAGCAGGUUCCCAGGGUGGAACAGGAACGAGAGGGGAGAUGGAUGGAGCUACAAUCACACUCAACUGGACUGUUUUGAUCAUUGUUUACCUUCAAGUUUCCAUUUUGGAGUCCUGAAGAUUUCGAGCUUUUGCUGUAAAGGUCAAGAUUUCUGUAAUAGAUACCAAGGAAAAGGACAGGAAUGGAAGCCUCGCUAACUGUUCUGCCUUUGUCAGUGUAGGUGUCCGCUCCCCCUUCCCCAUCCUUGGCCUCUCUGGUCCUCUCUCCCUCCGCACGUGCUCCUGAGGAGCGCAAAACAUCCUCCUGUCUCUGCCCGGUUUCUCUCUUCACUCCUCUCCUGCCCACUGGUGCCUGCCCCCCAACACCAGGCAGGGUGGAUUCACCCUUGCACCAUUUCACCUGUAAAUCACCCGUUCUCCUCACCUCACAUCUCCUCCUUCUGCACAAUUACUGUGCUUCUCUGUCUGACCCGCUGCCUGGUUUCUAAUCCCACAACUCAAGAGCGACUGCCAGGUGCCCAGACAGGCGAUGGGCUCCAUUUUGCACAUCAGGAGUUGGAGGGGUCCGUGGAAAACUCAGGAAAACGUGUCCAACUGGCAGAUUGACAGAGAAGCCUCAAAGUGCACGAAGGUGCCAAGGCCCGAGGCAGAUGGGAUCACCAGCUUUAGGUGUUAUGCACAUUCUCUCAACCUACUGAUGGCUCAAGUUCGGAGACUCCCAGAGGUUGUCGAGGGAGGCGAGUGGGGGUGGGGCUGGGUGAAUCACAGCCAUGGGAGACUAUGGGAGAGAAAGUGGGAGAAGGCCACAGAGGCAGGUGGGGAACCAGGACAGAGGGGCGGUGCUAUCUGUUUUCUGUGACAACUUGCAGGUCACUGGCAGAGCAGGUUGAAUGGAGAAGUGGCACAGAGGCCACAUUACGGAGGUUGAGGAAUGAAGGGACCAUGACAGGAAGACAUAGGGGGUAUCAGCCACUCUUCCAAGGAGCUUGGGAGCAACUGAGAAAGUGGAAUAGUAUCUUUUAUAAGAAUAGUGAAUUUCAUACAUUUUUAGAUUUUAUUUCUGCAGCAAUAGUACAGUUUCCUAAUGAUGCAAAAUUUGAGGUACAAGUUUGGAACCACCUUAAUCCA